rnacentral:tRNA from 1 species
GCCGUUGUAGCUCAGUUGGUAGAGCAAUUGAUUCGUAAUCAAGAGGUCGG